rnacentral:rRNA from 1 species
GACGAACGCUGGCGGCGCGCUUAACACAUGCAAGUCGAACGGAAAGGCCUGCUUUCCCUUGUGGAUUGCGGGUACUCGAGUGGCGAACGGGUGAGUAACACGUGAGUGAUCUGCCCCCAACUUGAGUAUAAGCCUGGGAAACUGGGUCUAAUUCCCGAUAGGACUGCAGGGUGGUGCCUGUGGUGGAAAACGAUUUUCUAGUGGUUGGGGAUGAGCUCGCGGCCUAUCAGCUUGUUGGUGGGGUAAUGGCCUACCAAGGCGGCGACGGGUAGCCGGCCUGAGAGGGUGGACGGCCACAUUGGGACUGAGAUACGGCCCAGACUCCUACGGGAGGCAGCAGUGGGGAAUAUUGCACAAUGGGCGGAAGCCUGAUGCAGCGACGCCGCGUGGGGGAUGACGGCCUUCGGGUUGUAAACUCCUUUCGACCGCGAGGAAGCCACCUGGUUGGAAGGGUGGUGACGGUAGUGGUAGAAGAAGCACCGGCUAACUACGUG